rnacentral:rRNA from 1 species
CCUACGGGAGGCAGCAGUCGGGAAUAUUGGGCAAUGGGGGAAACCCUGACCCAGCAACGCCGCGUGAGUGAUGAAGGCCUUCGGGUUGUAAAGCUCUGUCCUUGGGGACGAAGAAUGACGGUACCCAAGAAGAAAGCCACGGCUAACUACGUGCCAGCAGCCGCGGUAAU